GCAUUGAAACACCGGUUCCUGUACGAUCACCGAAGUUAAGUAACAUCGAGUCUGAUUAGUACCUGGAUGGGUGACCGCUUAAAAAUACCAAGUACU